rfam:Dengue virus type 1 genomic RNA, complete genome, strain:A88.
CGGGGCCCAACACCAGGGAAAGCUGUACCCUGGUGGUAAGGACUAGAGGUUAGAGGAGACCCCCCGCAUAAU